ACUCAGUCUCCAUCAACCCAGGCUGUUCAGCAGGGAGACACUGUCUCUAUCAGCUGUACAAGCUGUAGAGUCAGUCAGAGUGUUCACUACCACUCAAGCUAUGGCCACUAUCUACACUGGUACCUGCAGAAACCUGGUCAGGCUCCAAAACUUCUUAUUUAUCGCUCCACACAUCGUCAGUCUGGGAUUCCUGAUCGUUUCAGUGGGAGUGGAUCUGGGACUCAGUUUACACUGAAAAUCACUGGAGUCCAGGCUGAAGAUGCAGGAGAUUAUUACUGUCAGAGUUUUCACUACCCCAACAGUAAAGAUGUGUUCACACAGUGAUACAGAGCCGUACAAAAACCUCCCUCAGUCAGACUGCACAGAGACUGCACUGCUGCAGCUGGGACCUACUGCAGGUGCUGAGGGUAGAGGCACUGACCUGAGACACUGAGGGGCUCUGCUCUAAAACAGUGAACUAUGCUGUUCAAUAAUAACUCUCAUAUUCCAACAUUUAAUAUGAAAACUCUUGUCUGAAGAUCCACCUUUAUCUCUUCAUGGGAAAGAAUACACCUGAGACACAGCAUUUAAAAACAUAAUUAUCCUGAGCACCUAAUCUAGCUUCCUACUUUGUACUAUAUACAUGUCAUGAGGUCAGCAGUUCCUGCCUUCCCGGUGUCUGUGUUUUUGUUUUCCCUCCCUUUUGUGUGUGUGUGUGUCUCCCUCUGUCUGUGUGUAGGUGAGCCUACACCAACUGGCUGUAGGCGUGGCUCAUGCUGGCUUCAGGAGUCUCCGCCCCCAUGCACACCAGGCUCAGAUUUCCUCAUCAGCUCCAGUACACGAGGGACACUCUGAAGAUUCCCCCUCGCCAGAUCGUCUGUUUGCAGGCAAGGAACUCUCCUCAAGCCUCUCAGUUCUUCAAAUCAGCUAAGGAACUUUCUUGCAGUAACUUGUCCUCGGCUGUAUCUGUUUUUUGACCCCCCAGCUCCUUUUUGUUUUCAGUCAGCCGUAGCCUUAUUUUGUAUUGGACUUUAACAAGUGUUCUUUUCUCGCUAGCCUGCUAGUAGAUUUCUGUUCUCCAGACUCCCCCCUCUCUUGCGCCCCUGAAGUUUUUUCCCCUGGAUUUUUGUG